UUUCAAUCACUCGUCUCGCCCAAUCGGACGCCUCGUCGUUGCGUCCUCCCACCCACAGGCGAAUGACGCACGAGUCAUGUGUUGUUUGUGCUGUGCUCAGUAGUGUACACAGGGUGCGAAGAGCAGAUUGGUAGCUCGCUAGGAGGAUCUACCGAUAAUAGAACGGGUAAAUGUGGUCAUGCUGCAGUCGCUGGCAUUGAGUUCGUGGAGCAUUGGCUGGAAUACCUGCUUUUCAUGUGGCGGCCGGGAGAAGCGCAACACUGAAAAGACUUAAACCCCCCCAAACAAAAAUGGGGUCUCGGUCUGUGAGCCUAAGGUGAAGUCUCUCUUAUCUAAUGGCAAAUUUAGCAAAUUCCCAAGUAGGCAAAGCCGCUAUGUUGAUGCUGGAAACGCAACAGAGGGCUCUGGGAACUAACCGUGCAGCAGCUGCGACGGCGAACGGCGGGGAACCCCCUUCCGUACUGGAUGUCAGCGGCGCUGGUUUUCAUCAACAACGCUCACCGCCCUCCGAUCAUCAGCCGGGUGAAGCACAUCAACAACAGUGUCGCUACCGGCAACACGCUGCCCAUGAAAACAACCUGGAAUCACCGGCGAGGAAGGGGUCCACGUACUCUUUAAACCGGGCACAUGAGGACUCGGCCGGUAGUUCGAGCAACACACACGCUACCUCUGCUGUGAACGCCAGUCCCGCUGUUGCGGACGACAUCAGAAAGUGCGGCUACUUAAGAAAGCAGAAACACGGCCAUAAGAGGUUUUUUGUCUUGCGGGCGUCGAGUCAUUUAGGGCCGAGCAGACUGGAAUACUACGAUAGCGAGAAGAAAUUUCGUAACACCCUUUGCUCGACCGCCGCCGGAUCCUCAGCUUCAUCUGGCGGGGCUGCGGUGAGCGCCUCUCCUCCGAAAAGGGUGAUAUAUCUCUACCAGUGCUUUACUGUCAAUAAAAGGGCGGAUUCUAAGCAUAAACAUCUCAUUGCUCUGUAUACCAAGGAUGAAUACUUCGCGAUUGUCGCCGAGAAUGAACAGGAGCAAGAGGAGUGGCACCAGGCGCUCAGCGAGCUCAUGAGUGAGGGCAAGAGAUGCCACCUGGACGCUGAGGAGAUUGAUGACGGCUAUGGUACUGUAACUCCUGGCACUGAUUUCAAAGAAGUGUGGCAGGUGAAUGUUAAACCAAAGGGCUUGGGCCAGACUAAAAAUCUAACCGGUGUGUAUAGGCUCUGUCUGUCUGCUGAGAGCAUACAUCUGAUGAAGCUGAACUCUGAGACGCCUUGUGUGAACUUGCAGCUUAUGAACAUACGGCGCUGUGGCCAUUCAGAGAGCUUCUUUUUCAUAGAGGUCGGCCGCUCCUCUUCUAUAGGACCUGGGGAGGUUUGGAUGCAAGUGGACGAUUCUGUGGUGGCUCAAAACAUGCAUGAAACCAUUCUGGAGACCAUGAAGGCCCUCAAGGCAUUUGCCGAGUUCAGGCCGAGAAGCAAAAGCCAGUCGUCUGGCUCCAACCCAAUGGGUUUUAUCACCACACGGCGACACCUGGGCAACCUGCCGCCCAGUCAGACGGGGCUCCAGCGGCGGUCUCGGACCGAGUCUGUGGUGGGCACUCCACCCAGCAGGAAGAGCAAUGGAGCGAGCGGGUACAGAUUCCGCACCUCCAGUGAGGGAGAAAGCACCAUGAACCGCCCGUUUCGCUCUGUGACAGGUAGCCUUAUUCAUCUCAACACAGCCCGUGCUAACCUGAGCCGCCAGGAAAGUAGCAGUGGGGCUGGAGCUCGCUACAUUCGUGCUCUGCCAGGCUCCACCCAUCAUGCACGUUCGGCCUCGCUGCCAGUCUCGCAUUUCCCCUCGACCACCAGCCCAGUCAGCAUGUCCAGCAGCAGUGGGCAUGGCUCUGUGACCGACACCAUUACUCGCCCCUCCAGCGCAUCCAUUUGUGGAUCCCCGAGUGAUGGAGGUUUCAACUCCUCUGAUGAGUAUGGCUCCAGCCCUGGAGACCUCCGCUACUUCAGAGUGCGCAGCAACACCCCCGAGUCUCUGGGAAACACGCCACCCAUCCGUGAGGAGCACUGCCUCAGUGACUACAUGGCAAUGGGAUUUAACCGUGAUGUGUUCGGAACGGGCACAGGUGAGGUGGCCCGUGAUGAGAGUACCGACGAAGAUUCACGACCGGGGUCGUUAAGGAGGCGGACACCCUCCUUCUCCAGGCAGGUUGGGGGCGCUAGUGCUGCUGGAGUGGCUGUUUAUCAGAAGAUGACCCAGACCACCUUCUCGCUGGACGAGGCUGUGGUUGAGGAUAGCUCUUGGAGUGCCAGUGCCCAGACCAUCUCUAACUCCUCCUCCCUCUGCUCUGACUACAGCUCUAGUUCGGAACACAGCCAAGACCGCCCCCCUAUGUUACGGCCUGCAGAUGCCCCUAAAGAUGAUGGCUACAUGCCCAUGAUGGCAGGUGUGCUGCCCUCCACCAGUGAUGCAGACUACAUGCUUAUGCAACCAAAAAUCCUCCUCUCUGGCUCUCCACAAGUCCAAAGUGCUGCUUUACCUGUUCCCCAGCACAUGGACUCUCAAGGCUAUAUGAUGAUGCUCCCCGGUAGGAGUGGGGCUACUGACUCCCCCGCACCUUCCAGCCUUGACUCUAGCAGACGAGAAGAUGGACGUAGAGCCUCAAAUCGUCCUGAGAAUGGCGAAUACAUGGAUAUGUCUCAGAACACCCCCACAGCUAAUGCUCAAAGGGUUUCUAAUGAGAAUUACUAUGCCUUGACCACUCCUGUGAUCCCCAAGUCCUACAGUCCAUAUUUCUCCCUCCCUCGCUCAUAUAAAGCUCCAUCCAGAGACCAGCCUGAGCACGACGAGUAUGUUCCCAUGAGUUCACCAUCUAAAUCGGUCUGCACCCCAGAUCGUAGUAGCAUGUGCCCACCUUCUGAAGCUCUGCAUCAUAAUGGCUGCACAGACCGCCGAGCAGUUCGGCCGAACCGCCUACCCCUGGUAAGGCGGAGCUUGCACGGCAUUCUGGGAACAGGUGAAACACCAGUGCGCCCUUCCAGCCCUGGAGAGUACAUCAAUAUUGAAUUUGGGGAUCGGCCCACAUAUCCUGCAUGUCCAUUGUCUGGUGAAGGCCCCACCUCAACCCUCAAUAUCUGCAGGGAACAACGUAAGUCCCCCCUGCCACAGGACUACAUGACUGUCGAGGUAGGUGGUCUUCCACCAAAGAGUCGGUCCCCAAGGACCUCACUGGUGGCCCCCUGGAAUCCUCCUUCAUAUGUCCGGCCCACCUCAUCCUCUCACUGCAGUUUGACUGUGGGAAAACCUGACGACUACACAGAAAUGUCCUUUGCAGCUGGGGAGGAGACUAAGAGCCCUACAGAUAUGCUUGAGCGCCUGUGUAUCCUGGAACGACAGUUUUUCCCUUUCACUCCCCCAAUGGAGCCCAGGGUUGUCCGUGCUGAUCCUCAAGGCAGGCGGAGACACAGCUCAGAGACCUUUGUGACAUCAGCAGCAGCAUCAGGUGGAAGCGGGCUGGAUGCCAAUGGCACAGUGCCUAGCAGCAGUCAACAGGUGGGGCGCAAUAUGUGUCAGAACUCUGUGUCUUAUGACAGCGUUUGGACAGACAGUGUGACACCUAGCAGUGAGGUGACACCAGGAACCUCCUCUGUGAGGCCUGGAAGGACUUUACCUGCAGAACACCAGAAUGGCCUAAACUACAUUGCCCUAGACCUGAGAGAUGACCUCCGGCCUGGAAACACUCAUGAUGCGAUUUCCUUGGCAUCGUCCAGUGCUCCACCUCCAGAGAAUGGUGCCUAUGCCAGUAUAGAUUUAAUCAAAUCUGAGGUGCUUACAGCAGCAUCUAAAGAGUGACCCGCUUAUACCCGCCCCAACAACAUUACUCAACCAAUGGCGUGAGUUUGGGGUGGAAAUAUCUGACAGAUGAGUGAGAGAAUUCGACUGAGGACUGUCCCAUCAAGUUCUUGCAGAGAUGCCGGAUAACGUGAUGGCCCUAGCACACUGCACACCCUGCGGUACAACACAAGGAUCCUGCAAUUUCUUUUGAUUGACUUUUGUUUUUUUAUUAUUGUUCAAUGUGCUGUCUCAGAGCGGAGACUUUCCUGUAUGAGUUCAGUGCUUUGUGAUUUGGAACUCAAUAUUUAAUUUGCUGCAUAAAAAGGGAGGUCCACAUAUAUAGACACCAUAAUCCAUGAGUCUGGUUUGGGCAGGUGCAUGCUGUUUACAAGCAUCACUAAUAUGUACAAACUGUAUUUAUUUCCCAUAAAGAUUUCAGGUGCAAUUACAGAUUUUAGUGUUUGUUUACAGUUUGCUUUAGCAGAGAAAGCAUAUAUUGAAAUGGUACGGACUGCAUUUUUAUUAAUGUCUCGCACAUCUUAAAGUUUGGACCGUAGAAACCUCCUUUUCGUACUAGCUGUUCCUCAAUAUGUGUGAGUGCCAGGAUAGUUGCCUCCUGCUUACCCUGUGCUGGGCCCUGGUGUGUUUUCGGUGCCGUCAUGGUUUGUGGCACAGUCAAAACAGGCCUUUCGUCUCUCUUCCCUUACAAAUUUUCAACCAUCAUCUCCUCUUUGCCAAGUGCUCAGGAGAGACGGAUUGAGAGGGAGGGUUGCAGAAAAAGAGGUAGGGUCUAUUCUGGGACUACCCAAGAUGCCAGAUGAUAUCUGCUACAGUUGCUAAAAUGCCACCAGGAUGAGCACAGAGUUGAUUACACAAUCAAAAUAAAUAUAAAUGAGUUCUCUAGUUACUUAUUUGGUACCUAAAACAAAGAAACUGUAAAAGAAGAAGCCCUUCUGCAAACCUUUGUGGACAAAUAGCACAAAAUCCAAGUAUAAAAAGCCGAAUUUUGACAGUAUAAACCAUUAUGCAUGCUUAUGGCAAGACUCCACUAAAAUGAUACCUUUUAGGUUUAUACUCUAUAAGAUUGACACAACAUUUCAUUUAUAUUAUAUUUAUAAUUUAUUAUAUUUAUAAUUUUAGUAUUAACCAAUCGGUGGUUUAUUUCAUUGCCUCUCUCCCCUCAGUAUUGUGCUCUCUUUAUGUCACCCUUUGAUCAGGUUAUUCUUUCAGGAAGUGGAGAAAUGGUACAGUUCAUGCAGAGAGCUAAAAAAAUACUGUGGUCAAUGGCAGUGUUUUCUGCAUUGAAAAAAUAUGCUAGAGAAGAGAGAGAACAAAGGAGUGAUAUGCACACUACUAACUCUGCAGAUUUAGGUUGAAUCGCCUUGGUUACAUAGAAACAAGUUUGUUUUUAUAUUUCCCCGUUACUGCAACAUGUUUGAAAAGACAGAAUCAAAUGUGAAUAGCUUAAUACUUGUGACAGAAAAAAUGCAAAAGACAAAAUAUGGUACGGUCUUCAUUGUUAUGGUGUCAAUGGUAUGAAAGAUAUGAAAAUGUGUUCUGCAUUUCAAAAAUGAUCAGCAUUUCUGGUUAAAGGAACCAUUCCACACGGACAAUUACAAAAUGAACAACUUAACUAGCACAGAUUAUUACAGUCCAGCAGUGGUGUUGUGAAAACGUGGUUUUACCAAACAUACAAAACUAUAUUUAAGACCCAAAAUUGCCUCUAUAUAAUGAAAAUUAGAUUUUAAACAAAAGGGUACGGGAUAGUCUUUUUUGUUUGUUUGUUAGUAACUGUGAGAUUGACCUCUAAAAAUGCUUUUACAAAGAAACAAAUUCCUGUCAAAUGCAAAAAAAAAAAAAAAAGCUUUAAAUCAGCCAAAUUGUUAUAAACUCAGCCUUUUGCUAAUGUAUGUGAUCAAGUUGACUGCUGUUUUGCCACGAUUUUCAUUGAGUUACCAUCUUUAUACAUUACAUUUUUUAUUUGGAACUUGAUUCAAGUGAUUGCAUAGUACAGAUGUGCAGUGGUAUGGUAUUAAUGUUUUCCCCCUUAUUUUUUUUUUCUUUUAUAGUUAUAAUAGCUUGGCUAAUCUUUUUGGAAUCUUUCUGUAAGGGAAUUUAGUUUACUCCGCAUCAUUUCAAAAUCAAAGAGAAGGGGGACGUUGGGGCUUCCCUUUCCUGUGUAGUCUUUUUGUAAUCUUGUUAAACCUGACUAACAUUUUGGUACACUUGCAUUCUGUUUGCUGUUGUUUUUCCAAGUCCAAGCUUGACGGUUGGCAAAGUUGGAGGUCAGCCCUCCAGAAGCAGUCUGAGAGAAAAUACAAAAAAGGAAAAUCUUUAAGCAUCUUUUUAUGGCUGUGUCCAUGUGUACAUACUGAUACUUUAUUUUAUUGUUUUCCUGCAUUUGAUUUGAAAUUUGCUUUUUCCUCUGGUGGGAAAAAGAGAGUGAUAGCAGGUAAAUAAUUUGAGCAUUGCUUAGUGUUUGUAUUUCUUUUUUUUUGCUUUCAAUAGAGCUAUUGCAAUAAAAAAAAAGUUCCUGUAACA